GUAGAGAUGUGAAAAUGGUGCAAUCCCCCCCCCCCCAUGCUAUUACUUCUUGGUAUGUUUUUGAAACUUAGCACUUCCUUAUUACAAAACGGGGGAGAAAAUUAUCACUUUUUUGAAGAAUCGUUUUUUAAAGUCAAAAGACUCAGCAGCACAAGAAUUGCUUUAAAAUCCAGCAUGUGCACUGUGCACAACACAUGCACUUCCUGUUGACCCGUUCUUGACCUCCCAUGCUCUUCCUGACACAGUGGCGCCCUGGGUACAGAGCCACAAAGGCCAUGUCGACAAGCUACAGUUUCUCCAGCAACAGAGCCUUCCUGAAUAUCUUGGGAGCAGACGACGGUGCCAGGUGUCUGAUUAUGACUGAGUGAACAGACGACAUGUUGAGAAACAAUGCAAUUAUCUCCUGCGUCAUCUCACCAGGAGAAGAGCUGUGAGGGUGGAGUAUGGAUAGUGUUCGUCAUCUACCGUGUCCCCUGCAUCCAUCAGUUUGAUAAGAGCUGCUUUUCUCAGGAGGGUGCGACAUUCAGGAACAACUACACAGCUGCUUUCCAUCAGGGCUCAUCAAGGACAGUGUUCAUAAGCAGCUAGAACCCUGAAGGAGGCGUCAGAGUGAGUAAAUAAGACCCCUGAUGACUACUCCUGUCUGAUGUUCCAUGUCCAAGUCCUCCGUUGGUUAAAGCACUUAACUGUGUUUUUCCUACCAAGAGCCUCCUCCAGCUUCCUCGAACCUGCCUGCUCAAGAAAGUCACCAACCGCUCUCUCGGACCUCCUGUUUUGUGCCUCCCUGCCUGUCCAACCUCCAACAUCUCACACCACCAUCUGGGGUAACAAACCACAGAGAGUAACCCACGUAAACCGACUACCACUCCGACCUCGGCCUCCUUGACAUUACUCACUUUCCCCGGAAACACUCCUGGAACCCGCAACAUGAACUGGCCCAAAGGAACCCCACUCCUGAACCAUCCAGUUUCACUAUAAGCCUGUUUAACCAAAACUCUGCCUCUGCAACCUGUUAGGGCUUGCGAGAUAGAGGACCCCAGAAUGCAGACUAGCAGGCAGCAUGAUGGUAAACACAAAGAGCUAAGCCUGCAGGAGUAACCUCACUGGGCUACCAGUACUGUUACAACAUGAAGGAGGUCACCUACAAAGCAUACAAUAUGGAUGGGGCUUUGUGGGGGCCAACACACAAAGAAGAUGCCUUUAAUAUGGUGCACUAAAUCUACCAAUAAAUCAAGUCAUACUUCAAUUUUACGUUGAAUUUACUGAGAGAUCCCUUUACUCUGAUGACCCGCAAAUCAAAUCUGCUGCAACCUUUUGUGUUUAGAUGUCACCAAAUUUGAAAUAUCAAGCCUAUCUUUGGGUAAAGUGGCAGCUGUGGUUGUGUGGGAUAGUUUGUCAUAACACAAGUGGAAGUGUGGGUUAAAUUUCAGCUUCCCCUCUUGCCACAUGUCAGUGUGCCCUUGAGCAAGACACUUCACCAUAUGUUGUCAACCAAUUUGUGUACUGGUGCAAGAAUGUGUGAACACUGUGAGUGUAGCUGACUGAAUCUGACUAUCGUAUAAAAGUAUUUUCAGUUGUCAGGUCAACCAAAGAACCACUAUAUAGAUUCAGUCCAUUUUAUUUAGGCUCACUAUAAAUGCAGCUGUUCUGUCAAGACCUCAGAGGGUUGUUAGAGAACAUUAGUGGAGAAAAAGUAGUGUGGUUUUCUGCUAUUCGUGGUUUUCACGAAUAGCAGCAGAGUGGUCAAGGAUAAAGUUAUGCUAAAGUUUAAAGGAGGAUUACCAAGACAUGGCUCUCCAUUUAAAAUGGCAGUAGGGAAGGAAAAAAUUAUACAGAGAAUCAAGUAAUACCGCAGCUGCUGAAAUCUGCGGAUCAUGUGGAAAAAUCUUUGGAAAUGACAAUUAUUGGUCAUGCAGUCCACCAUUGUGGAUUUUAUUAAAAAGUGUCAGUGAGAGAGCUAUUGCUGAGAGAAAGACAUUUAAACUGUUCUUCAUAGUUUUACAUGAGCAAUUUAGGUGGAACAUAAACAUGCUGGAGGAAGGUGUUCUGGUAUUAGAACAAAAUGCAGACAGGUAGGCUGGAGCAGUUCAGUGAUUUGAAGAAUUUAAUAAAUAACAAAACAAAACAAAAAACAAAAACUGACAGACAGGCACGAGGUGGACGAAGCUCAGCACAAUGGCAAAAAACAGGUAUGAACAUGAGCAGACAUGGCAUGAAACAAAUAGUAUUCUCCAGUGAGGAGUAAACAGAACAGACAGUGGAUGGCACAGGGGAAAACAAGGAGACUGAUUGGCAGGAAAUGGGUAGACUGAAUGAAGCUGAUUGUGAUGGCAAGACCAUCAAGAAUAAACUAGAAAGCUAAAUGCAAAUAAAUAUAUAAACAUGAAAAACACCUUACGAGUCUGAGGAAAGAAAGGUGAACUGAUAUGACAAAAAUAACAGAAUAUGGCAAAACCUAAAAGAACACUGCAACAAGAAAAAUACUAAAAAAACAUGAACACAAAUGAAAACAGUUUCUGUUGAUACAAUCUUUUGUACCUUUACAUACAUUUACCUUUAGUGAAAAUAAGCUAACAACAAGAGAAGAAAAAAGAACUUUCUUAGCAUUAAAGAUAAUGUUAAUGACAGAUUCACAAUCACAGUUAUUUAGGGGCUAUGAGUACAAAGAUAGCAGGAUAAACUUAUGUCCAAGGAAGAAAGAUGCAGUUCCCUGGUAAGAGUCUAGAUCAACAAUGAACGGCUUUAAAAUAAUUUCUCUCCAUCAGCAGUCGGGCUGCACAACACUUUACAAACAUCACCUUCAGGCAGCACCCUCCAUCUCCCACUUUCUCUUUCUCCACUUUUCCCAAUAGAGGGGCAGAUGGGGGGGCUGGAUGAGGAGGCGACUAGCACCCCAGUAACAGGUUUGAUUGGAAAGCAUCUAGCCCCUGGCAACCAAUCCCCCAGCAAUACCGCACACGCUCACACAUACGCAUCCGUGGGGUUUCUGUGGCAACUAUGGUGCAGGGGGUAGACAGAAUGAUCCGGUCUGCAGAGCAAGUCACACUAUGGUGAUGAAGGGACAAGGCCUCUGGCAGGAAGAGGAGGGAGACCGCAUUACUGGGUGAUGUGGAAGAGAAAGAAGUCAGACAGAAAAGAUGGCUUAAUGUUGAAUUGUUUUCAGAACAGUUUGAAUGUAAAAGCAGUCACAAGCCCAUAGAGGACAGACAUAUCUCUUAUUAAUUGUCUGGAGAUAACAGGAGGAUUUUCUGUAAUAAUCAAGGUAGAUUUUCUCAAUUAUUAUUCAGCUGCUUGCUUUCAAUACUAAAGUUCCAGUAUUGAAAAAGUGGCUAUAAAGAUUACCAAAGGCUUGCCAUGCAGCAUUU